rnacentral:lncRNA from 1 species
CGAGCUGGCCAAGGAUCAUGGUGGACGUGAUUCGCGCGGCAUCCUUUGCAGAGAGAGCGCGAUUCAGCGGCGACAACGGAGGUAUGGACUACGAGCUUGUGUACUGGGCGAUGCGGGAGGCGGAAUCUCCAGAUCCAACGGUGGCGGCGAAGUGGAGCGGCUUCAAAUCGGUGGUUCCAUUCCUGCACAACAUCAACCCUCCCCCGAUGAUGGAACUGUCCCGGAU